rnacentral:rRNA from 1 species
UACAGAGGUCCCGAGCGUUGUUCGGAUUCACUGGGCGUAAAGGGUGCGUAGGUGGCAAGGUAAGUUUGAUGUGAAAUCUCCGAGCUUAACUCGGAAAAUGCAUUGAAUACUAUCUGGCUAGAGGUUUGGAGGGGGGACUGGAAUUCUUGGUGUAGCAGUGAAAUGCGUAGAUAUCAAGAGGAACACCAGUGGCGAAGGCGAGUCCCUGGACAACACCUGACACUGAGGCACGAAAGCUAGGGGAGCAAACAGG